CAAAUUAAAGAGAGUUUGAUCCUGGCUCAGGACGAACGCUGGCGGCGUGCCUAAUACAUGCAAGUAGAACGCUGAGAACUGGUGCUUGCACCGGUUCAAGGAGUUGCGAACGGGUGAGUAACGCGUAGGUAACCUACCUCAUAGCGGGGGAUAACUAUUGGAAACGAUAGCUAAUACCGCAUAAGAGAGACUAACGCAUGUUAGUAAUUUAAAAGGGGCAAUUGCUCCACUAUGAGAUGGACCUGCGUUGUAUUAGCUAGUUGGUGAGGUAAAGGCUCACCAAGGCGACGAUACAUAGCCGACCUGAGAGGGUGAUCGGCCA
rnacentral:rRNA from 1 species